CCCCACCCAUAAAUAUCCGCAGAAUCUAUUAUAUCCUCUUUGAUGUAUAUAGCAUCUCUUAGUUAAACAACAACAACAAGUAAGUCUUAAUCCCAACCUAGUUGGGGUCGACUACAUGAUCCUUUUUCGAGAUUUAGUCUAUCAUCUCUUAGUUAAAGAAGAAAAAAUUUAACUCCAAUCUUGAAUCUUAUACCUGUCAACUUCAUUAUUCUUAUUUUUACAACCUGAUUGCCCAUGUAUACCUGUAGCUGCAAAAUUCAUGGGUAUCAGAAUCAGUUUAGUUACUGCUAUACAUCAACUUCUCCUGCAUUUUGCAGCCUACCGGUUCAACUAUGGCUCUCCGAUUCGUCAUCAUCUUCCACUUCUAUGCUGUUGCCUCCAGUACUAGAGAUAUCUUUGGCAGAUCCAGAUCCAUGGAAGGGUCCUUUAGGAGAAUUAGACUCUGAAAUAGUUGA
rnacentral:misc_RNA from 1 species